GCUGGGUCAAACAAAGUCAUUCCAUUGGCUCCUUUCCCAGUAAGCUUCUGCUAGCAUUUAGGUACUAAUGCAGCCUAGGCCUUUUCUCAGGGAUAGCCUAACAUCUAACCGCACCCUCUUACCCUUUUUGUUUUCUUUUUUCAAAAGUCCUUUCCCUCUUGAAGAUCAAUUCAGUAUUAUGCAAUCUGCCAACAUUUGUGUAUUAAAAUGUGUUCUGUCUUGAAAGCUGAUGCAUCCUGCUCCCAAUAUGGUGCAGAAAGAAGUUUGUUAUCGUCCUGGAUUAAUAAAAGGGGCCUUUAUGGGUUGUGAAAGAAUAUCUGUAUGCUUAGGCAGGAAACUUUUUGAUCCACAGAAAAGCAAGACGACAUCUAGUGUUACGAAAAAAAUAAAUGGAAAAAACAGACGAAGAAUUUGAUCAUAUAAGAACUAAACAAGGAAAACAACAAAGAAACAUGGAAGAUUGAAAUAAAUAACAGAAUUAAAUAGUUAAACAGGGAAGGAAAGAGAAGAUGAAGGGGGAACAAGAUGCAGCAGAUAAGAGAAUGGACAGAAAAGAGAAAAAAGGCUAUGAAAGCUAAAUUUAUAGUUAAACAAAGAACAAUGAGCACAAACCUACACCUGCUUACUUUGUAAUAAAUCCCACAGAAUUUGCUGGUUCUUACUCAACAUUUUUUUACCUUGUUCAGACAUUAAGAAUCCUUUAAUAAUCUAUUUCCAUUCAAGAAGGAACAGAAUGGGAGUAAUGUAUCCCUUCCUUAUCCUCUACUGAACGAAGUUGAAAGUCUACAAAGAGACAGAAAUGAAGAGAAGCUGUCACCAAAUCUGCCUCACUGAGAAAUAUAAUCAAGGAAUAUGUGGAGUCUGCAGAAGAAAAAUCUCUUAUAUUUGUGGAGUUUAUGCCUAAGUAAGGCUUUAUUCAAAAAAAUAUAAGAAAUCCCAAACAUCACUUUAAAAAAAAUCUUUCAGGAAUAUGCAGCAAAUAUUCCAACUGGAUACGCAAAUGUGUAUUUAUAUGUAUGUAUGUAUGUAUGUAUGUAUGUAUGUAUGUAUGUAUACAUACAUACAUACACACAUACACACAUACAUACAGUAUAUUCUUCUUUCUUUGGCACUAGUUCACUGCUAGGAAAAUGUGCUGACACUGCUUGGUUCUAGCAAAUUUAGGAUUAGAAAUCGUAAACUACAUAUUGUGUUGCUUAAUAAUAUUGCAUAUUUUUAAAAGAAGUUGAGAAGUGUUUCUUGUCAAGUGAGAUUAUUCUUUGAGAAAUGAAAAUAUUUUCCACAAAAUUGAAUUCAAAUUAGAAAAGUUAACAUGCCAAAUAUCCUAUUCUACACACUUUCAUUGUGUAAGGAAAUAUGUGGUUUGUUUAUUUAUUUCUGUAAUUGAUAUGUUAUAUAAAAAUUGAAUUGCUUUCACUUAU